GCCCCGGUGGUAUAGCCAGGCCAAAUGUUAUAGGCUAAGUAAGCCUAGGAUCCCGGGUUCAAAUCCCGGCCGGGGCA
rnacentral:tRNA from 1 species